AUUGAACGCUGGCGGCAUGCCUUACACAUGCAAGUCGAACGGCAGCACGGGGGCAACCCUGGUGGCGAGUGGCGGACGGGUGAGUAAUGCAUCGGAACGUGCCCUGAAGUGGGGGAUAACGCAGCGAAAGCUACGCUAAUACCGCAUAUUCUGUGAGCAGGAAAGCAGGGGAUCGCAAGACCUUGCGCUUUGGGAGCGGCCGAUGUCGGAUUAGCUAGUUGGUGGGUAAAGGCCUACCAAGGCGACGAUCCGUAGCGGGUCUGAGAGGAUGAUCCGCCACACUGGGACUGAGACACGGCCCAGACUCCUACGGGAGGCAGCAGUGGGGAAUUUUGGACAAUGGGCGAAAGCCUGGAUCCAGCCAUGCCGCGUGAGUGAAGAAGGCCUUCGGGGUUUCGU
rnacentral:rRNA from 1 species